rnacentral:rRNA from 1 species
GACGAACGCUGGCGGCGUGCCUAAUACAUGCAAGUAGAACGCUGAAGGAGGAGCUUGCUUCUCUGGAUGAGUUGCGAACGGGUGAGUAACGCGUAGGUAACCUGCCUGGUAGCGGGGGAUAACUAUUGGAAACGAUAGCUAAUACCGCAUAAUAGCAGUUAUUGCAUGAUAACUGUUUGAAAGGUGCAAUUGCACCACUACCAGAUGGACCUGCGUUGUAUUAGCUAGUUGGUGGGGUAACGGCUCACCAAGGCGACGAUACAUAGCCGACCUGAGAGGGGGAUCGGCCACACUGGGACUGAGACACGGCCCAGACUCCUACGGGAGGCAGCAGUAGGGAAUCUUCGGCAAUGGACGGAAGUCUGACCGAGCAACGCCGCGGGAGUGAAGAAGGUUUUCGGAUCGUAAAGCUCGGUUGUAAGAGAAGAACGAGUGUGAGAGUGGAAAGUUCACACUGUGACGGUAUCUUACCAGAAAGGGACGGCUAACUACGUG